UGGAGAGUUUGAUCCUGGCUCAGGACGAACGCUGGCGGCGUGCUUAACACAUGCAAGUCGAGCGAGGCUCCACUCUUCGGAGUGGAAGCCCUAGCGGCGAACGGGUGAGUAACACGUGGGCAACCUGCCCCUAGCACUGGGAUAACCCCGGGAAACCGGAGCUAAUACCGGAUACGACCACGGACGGCAUCAUCACGUGGUGGAAAGAUUUAUCGGCUAGGGAUGGGCCCGCGGCCUAUCAGCUUGUUGGUGGGGUAAUGGCCUACCAAGGCGACGACGGGUAGCCGGCCUGAGAGGGCGACCGGCCACACUGGGACUGAGACACGGCCCAGACUCCUACGGGAGGCAGCAGUGGGGAAUAUUGCGCAAUGGGCGAAAGCCUGACGCAGCGACGCCGCGUGAGGGAUGACGGCCUUCGGGUUGUAA
rnacentral:rRNA from 1 species